rnacentral:rRNA from 1 species
AUGGUGGCUCGGGCCUGGGAGAGGCCUGUCAACCAUGACUGCUCGUUUCUGAGGUUUAAGACCAAGCUUCAGAGAACCGCUUCUGACCUGAAGAUCUGGAGAAAGACUCUGUUCAGUGAUGCAAAACUUCAGUUCCACUUGGCAUCCGAGGUGGUGCUCCGUUUUGACGUGGCCCAGGAGAGAAGAGUUUUGACCCAAUCUGAAUUUCACCUCAGGAAGCUGCUCAAGUUGAAGAUCGUUGGCCUCGCGGCACUGGAGUGUGCCACGAAAAGACAGGCCUCCCGUGUUACAUGGUUGAAGGCCGGCGAUGCCAAAACUGCUUUCUUUCAGGCCAAAAUCAGCUCGCGAAGACGGAAAAAUUUCAUUCAGCAGCUGCAGGGGGACGGCCUGAUCGCCACAACUCAUGAAGACAAGGCGAAGAUGAUUCAGGAGCACUUCCAGAAGCUCUUGGGGACAAGGAAAAACAGAGAAUGCACGAUCAACUGGGACGCGAUCAACCUGCCGGUGUUGGACAGUAGUGGCCUUGACAAUCCUUUCACCGAGGCUGAAAUCUAG